GUGCCAGCAGCCGCGGUAAUACGUAGGGUGCGAGCGUUAAUCGGAAUUACUGGGCGUAAAGCGUGCGCAGGCGGUUCGUUAAGUCUGAUGUGAAAGCCCCGGGCUCAACCUGGGAAUGGCAUUGGAAACUGGCGGGCUGGAGUAUGGCAGAGGGGGGUGGAAUUCCACGUGUAGCAGUGAAAUGCGUAGAGAUGUGGAGGAACACCGAUGGCGAAGGCAGCCCCCUGGGCCAAUACUGACGCUCAGGCACGAAAGCGUGGGGAGCAAACAGGAUUAGAUACCCCGGUAGUCC
rnacentral:rRNA from 1 species